AUGACCGGCCGCUCCAGGAACCGCUCGCAGUCGGCGGCGGCGGCCCGGAACUCGCCUGAGGGGUUGGACGACAGUGGUGUUGUCGCCGUCUCCUACGCGCGUCAACGCGCUGCUCCUGUUGCUCCCGUCGAGCACCACACAUCAACAUCUAGUGUGGGACGCACUAUCCGUGUGGAGCAUUGGGCCGCCACCGUCGACGAUAGAAGGUGCAGUAAAAUGGAAACUACUGUUAAAAGUGCUACUAAUGGAGAAAAAUACGUCUCCGAAAUGACCGAUGAGGCAAUCUUGAGGAAGCACGGCCAUACGAAGUUAGUGUGCUCACUGUCAAGGCUCGCCAAAGUCAUGAAAUUGUUAUCACCAGAACACAUAGAGAAAAUCAUAAGCGAUACCGGUCUUGGGUGUCUAAACAUGAUUCGUGAAUUUAAACUCCGGCGCAUUAUGUUGAUUUGGUACUGGGAGCACCUGCGUUCCGGCAAAUUGAUGUAUACUCCUAUACCCCCACCAUUGGUCGCACGAUGGGACGAAUGCACGUGUGUAAUAAGAGCAGAAGCUUACACCUCAGGAGGUCUUCAUAAAGGACUGGUUGUGAUGGAAAUUUGUGCUCGACAACCAAAGGCCAACAAUAGAAAGGAUCCAGGAAGCAAAAAAAUUGUACGUGAGGAUGAAGGUGAUUCAUCUCGAGCACAAUCACAAGGUCAAAAUAUGAGUAGCCACCAAGGUGUUAUUUCGUUUGCACAGGUGCAAAUGAUAGUUGCAGCCCUGAAUGCAUGUUGUGUUGAGCAAGAAAAGAAGAUAGACAGACAGUUAAUGGAAAUUCAGCGUAGAUUUGAUGCGAAAUUCCUCACCCUGAGCGAAGAGUUAAUCGACAUUAAGAGUAAAUCUGGCAGUAAUCCUAGGCUCUCGCUGCUCGAGGACAAAAUUAAGAACUUAAGGAGGGACCUGAAGGAAUUAGAAAACCAAACUAAAGUCAGCCGACAAUCCGAGUCACAGAAAGCAGGCGUCGAGGAACAAGUCAAUGUGUGCAGUGAUCCCUUCAUGGCGACUCCUAAGUUCGACGCAUCCACGCCACGUACUUUGACUCCAACACCAAGUGCCAGACACGUCCUGCCAAACAAGGACGAUCCUCGAAUCACACCGUUGAAGCCUCUAUUUGAUAAUGAUUACGUGCUCACCGCUGAGGACAAAGAGGCAGCCAUUUUCAUCCGGGGAACACACGGCCCUGUUGAAGUUACUAUGGCGUAUGCUCACAUCAGCGGAGUUGAGACUGAUACUACCUCAGUCAUAUCCCCCAAUGAAACCAGAAAGCUUUUACAAACAAAAGGGGUUAUUCCAGAGGGCCGUGGAAGCUCGUUGCUUCAGCGUAUUGCAAAUAAAUUUGUAGGACGCCGGAAGGUCCACAUCCCGUUUAAUGUGAAUGAUAACCAUUGGAUGGCAAUGGUGUUCAAUUUCGACAAAGAAGAGAUUCAAAUCCUAAACUCCUUGAAAAAUCAAUUUGCUGAGUCAAAGGAAACUGCUCUUGUGGAGGCGAUUCAGGCCUGCAUGGAUGGAGCGGUGAAGGAUGGCUUGGCGGAGACGUAUGAAGCCCACGUUGCAUCGGAACCUAUCAAUUCACAAGACGAUGUCCAAGAAAUUAUCGGUACUGUUGAGUGCAAGAUAUCAGACACGUCGAGCUCCCCAAAGGAUCCCGACACCCCGAGCUCCCCAAAAAAGCGAAGAGCACGUGGACGCCCGAGGAAGCUUGUUGAUGAAGUGCAAGCUAAAAAAACAAAAACUACGGAAGAGCUCAGAGUGAAAUUUGAUAGCAAGACCAUUGUUAAACAAGUGUCUUCUUCGAUAUCAGGACGAUCACGCAAGCCAUCACAUGCUAUAUCGAGCCCAUUCAAGUUAACCAAAUGGUAG
rnacentral:rRNA from 1 species